CCUACGGGAGACAGCAGUGGGGAAUAUUGGGCAAUGGGCGCAAGCCUGACCCAGCAACGCCGCGUGAAGGAAGAAGGCUUUCGGGUUGUAAACUUCUUUUAAGCGGUAAGAGCAGAAGACGAUACCUCUUGAAUAAGCCACGGCUAACUACGUGCCAGCAGCCGCGGUAAUACGUAGGUGGCAAGCGUUGUCCGGAUUUACUGUGUGUAAAGGGCGUGUAGCCGGGCUGACAAGUCAGAUGUGAAAUCCCGUGGCGCAACCACGGAACUGCAUUUGAAACUGUCGGUCUUGAGUAUCGGAGAGGCAGGCGGAAGUCCUAGUGUAGCGGUGAAAUGCGUAGAUAUUAGGAGGAACACCAGUGGCGAAGGCGGCCUGCUGGACGAGAACUGACGGUGAGGCGCGAAAGCGUGGGGAGCAAACAGGAGUAGAUACCCCAGUAGUC
rnacentral:rRNA from 1 species